AGCAGCCGCGGUAAUUCCAGCUCUAAUAGCGUAUAUUAAAGUUGUUGCAGUUAAAAAGCUCGUAGUUGAAUUUCGGGAUCAGUUGGUCGGUCGUGCCUCGGUACGUACUGGUCAAAUUGAUUCCUACCUUCUGACGAACCACGAUGUCAUUAAUUUGGUGUCGCGGGAAAUCAGGACUGUUACUUUGAAAAAAUUAGAGUGUUUAAAGCAGGCUCGCGCUUGAAUACAUUAGCAUGGAAUAAUGAAAUAGGACGUUUGAUUCUAUUUUGUUGGUUUCUAGGAUCGACGUAAUGAUUAAUAGGAAUAGUUGGGGGCAUUAGUAUUCAAUUGUCAGAGGUGAAAUUCUUGGAUUUAUUGAAGACUAACUACUGCGAAAGCAUUUGCCAAGGAUGUUUUCAUUAAUCAAGAACGAAAGUUAGGGGAUCGAAGACGAUCAGAUACCGUCGUAGUCUUAACCAUAAACUAUGCCGACUAGGGAUCGGAUGAUGUUAAUUUUUUAAUGACUCAUUCGGCGCCUUAC
rnacentral:misc_RNA from 1 species